rnacentral:rRNA from 1 species
UACAGGGGGUGCAAACGUUGCUCGGAAUUAUUGGGCGUAAAGAGCUCGUAGGCGGUCUGUCGCGUCGGCUGUGAAAUCCCGAGGCUCAACCUCGGGUCUGCAGUCGAUACGGGCAAACUAGAGUAUUGCAGGGGAGACUGGAAUUCCUGGUGUAGCGGUGAAAUGCGCAGAUAUCAGGAGGAACACCGGUGGCGAAGGCGGGUCUCUGGGCAAUAACUGACGCUGAGGAGCGAAAGCGUGGGGAGCGAACAGG